AUUGAACGCUGGCGGCAUGCUUUACACAUGCAAGUCGAACGGUAACAGGCCGCAAGGUGCUGACGAGUGGCGAACGGGUGAGUAAUGCAUCGGAACGUGCCCAGUCGUGGGGGAUAACGCAGCGAAAGCUGCGCUAAUACCGCAUACGAUCUAUGGAUGAAAGCGGGGGACCGUAAGGCCUCGCGCGAUUGGAGCGGCCGAUGUCAGAUUAGGUAGUUGGUGGGGUAAAGGCUCACCAAGCCAACGAUCUGUAGCUGGUCUGAGAGGACGACCAGCCACACUGGGACUGAGACACGGCCCAGACUCCUACGGGAGGCAGCAGUGGGGAAUUUUGGACAAUGGGGGCAACCCUGAUCCAGCCAUGCCGCGUGCGGGAAGAAGGCCUUCGGGUUGUAAACCGCUUUCGGCCGGAACGAAAUCGCCCGGGUGAACAUCCCGGGUGGAUGACGGUACCGGAAGAAGAAGCACCGGCUAACUACGUGCCAGCAGCCGCCGCAGUAA
rnacentral:rRNA from 1 species